rnacentral:rRNA from 1 species
GACGAACGCUGGCGGCGUGCCUAAUACAUGCAAGUAGAACGCACAGUUUAUACCGUAGCUUGCUACACCAUAAACUGUGAGUUGCGAACGGGUGAGUAACGCGUAGGUAACCUGCCUGGUAGCGGGGGAUAACUAUUGGCAACGAUAGCUAAUACCGCAUAAUAUUGAUUAUUGCAUGAUAAUUGAUUGAAAGAUGCUAUUGCAUCACUACCAGAUGGACCUGCGUUGUAUUAGCUAGUAGGUGAGGUAACGGCUCACCUAGGCGACGAUACAUAGCCGACCUGAGAGGGGGAGCGGCCAAGCUGGGACUGGGACACGGCCCAGACUCCUACGGGAGGCAGCAGUAGGGAAUCUUCGGCAAUGGACGAAAGUCUGACCGAGCAACGCCGCGUGAGUGAAGAAGGUUGUCGGAUCGUAAAGCUCUGUUGUAAGAGAAGAACGGGUGUGAGAGUGGAAAGUUCACACUGUGACGGUAUCUUAACAGAAAGGGACGGCUAACUACGUG